ACUCCUACGGGAGGCAGCAGUAGGGAAUUUUCGGCAAUGGGGGAAACCCUGACCGAGCAAUGCCGCGUGAGUGAAGACGGCCUUCGGGUUGUAAAGCUCUGUUGUAAGGGAAGAACGGCAUAGAGAGGGAAUGCUCUAUGAGUGACGGUACCUUACCAGAAAGCCACGGCUAACUACGUGCCAGCAGCCGCGGUAAUACGUAGGUGGCAAGCGUUAUCCGGAAUUAUUGGGCGUAAAGGGUGCGUAGGCGGCGAGAUAAGUCUGAGGUAAAAGCCCGUGGCUCAACCACGGUAAGCCUUGGAAACUGUCUGGCUGGAGUGCAGGAGAGGACAAUGGAAUUCCAUGUGUAGCGGUGAAAUGCGUAGAUAUAUGGAGGAACACCAGUGGCGAAGGCGACGAUCUGGCGCAUAACUGACGCUCAGUCCCGAAAGCGUGGGGAGCAAAUAGGAUUAGAUACCCUAGUAGUCCACGCCGUAAACGAUGAGAACUAAGUGUUGGGGAAACUCAGUGCUGCAGUUAACGCAAUAAGUUCUCCGCCUGGGGAGUAUGCACGCAAGUGUGAAACUCAAAGGAAUUGACGGGGGCCCGCACAAGCGGUGGAGUAUGUGGUUUAAUUCGACGCAACGCGAAGAACCUUACCAGGCCUUGACAUGGUAUCAAAGGCCCUAGAGAUAGGGAGAUAGUUAUGGUACACACAGGUGGUGCAUGGUUGUCGUCAGCUCGUGUCGUGAGAUGUUGGGUUAAGUCCCGCAACGAGCGCAACCCUUGUUUCUAGUUACCAACAGUAAGAUGGGGACUCUAGAGAGACUGCCGGUGACAAACCGGAGGAAGGUGGGGAUGACGUCAAAUCAUCAUGCCCCUUAUGGCCUGGGCUACACACGUACUACAAUGGCGUCUACAAAGAGCAGCGAGCAGGUGACUGUAAGCGAAUCUCAUAAAGGACGUCUCAGUUCGGAUUGAAGUCUGCAACUCGACUUCAUGAAGUCGGAAUCGCUAGUAAUCGCGGAUCAGCAUGCCGCGGUGAAUACGUUCUCGGGCCUUGUACACACCGCCCGUCAAACCAUGGGAGUUGAUAAUACCCGAAGCCGGUGGCCUAACCAGCAAUGGAGGGAGCCGUCGAAGGUAGGAUCGAUGACUGGGGUUAAGUCGUAACAAGGUAUCCCUACGGGAACGUGGGGAUG
rnacentral:rRNA from 1 species